ensembl:lncRNA
UGUUCAUGUUAUCUCAAUGUAAUGGACAGUUAGGACUACUGUUCAUGUUAUCUCAAUGUAAUGGACAGUUAGGACUACUGUUCAUGUUAUCUCAAUGUAACGACAGUUAGGACUACUGUUCAUGUUAUCUCAAUGUAAUGGACAGUUAGGACUACUGUUCAUGUUAUCUCAAUGUAAUGGACAGUUAGGACUACUGUUCAUGUUAUCUCAAUGUAACAGACAGUUAGGACUACUGUUCAUGUUAUCUCAAUGUAAUAGACAGUUAGGACUACUGUUCAUGUUAUCUCAAUGUAACAGACAGUUAGGACUACUGUUCAUGUUAUCUCAAUGUAACAGACAGUUAGGACGACUGUUCAUGUUAUCUCAAUGUAAUAAGACAGUUAG